rnacentral:lncRNA from 1 species
GAAUUGUGUGAAACUGCUUAAGGUUGCUAAUGGAGCCCGAGUCUAGUGUGAUUUAUGAUUUACUGUUAUUUGGCCUGUUUUACAGCAUUAAAUGCAUUAUGAGGUUUGAUGUGUUCAUUUUAUAGUUUCGAAUGCAUAUAUUACUGUUUUAUUAAUUAUGGGUUGAAUGACUGAAGAAGUGAUACUGUAUGUUGUCUGUUCGGCAUGAAUUAUGAUUUGCUUGUUUAAAUGUGAAUUGAUGAUGCUUAUUGAGGAAAAGUGAAAUGAAACAUUGUAUAGACUGAUAAUUGUAUGAUGGGGUCAGCCUGACUAGAUAUCCUGGGAGAUGGUGGACGGACCGGGUCCGUAGGGAACCCUACCGGGAUUGUGGUCUCACAUGCCGGACGGGGUAUGGAGAUCUUAUGGUUUUGGCGCCCAUACCGGACGGGGUAUGGGGACGGCCCGUUUCACCCUCAUACCGGACGGGGUAUUGAGGUUUAUGGUUUUGGCGCCCAUACCGGACGGGGUAUGGGGACGGCCCGUUUCACCCUCAUACCGGACGGGGUAUUGAGGUUCAUGGUUUUGGCGCCCAUACCGGACGGGGUAUGGGGACGGCCCUGGAAACUGAUUAUGAAUGUUAAAGGUUAACGGGUAGCGGGACCCCUAGGGACCCCCAUGGAUACUAGUAGGCUGGUAAAUGAGAAAAGGAUAUGUUGAUUAAUGAUUUAAUUACGAAAGGCGUGAUAAGUGCUAUGUUUUACAGCUUAUAUUAUUCCAUGAUUGUGAUAAUGUUAUUAUUUUCUUAUAUUGUUUUCAUAAAUUCCACCGAGGUAAGUGGAUGGUAAAGGUUUUCAUGUUAAUAAACGAGUUUAUUGUAAAUUAUGCUCCAUUGGUCUUUUUGUGUUUUUCUACCCACCUUUACCUCUGUGACGGUGAGAUAUCGUGAUGUUCUUACUGGGCUAGUGUAGCUCACUCCUUAAUUAACCAUUCCAGAUCAGGAAGACAUGGUUCCCGAGCCCGUUCCGCAGGAGGACGACGAAGGGGAUGCCUAGAGACUCUGUAGUUAUACGCAUAGUUUAUUUUCGAGCUUUCUUUCUUAGUUAGUUUAACCUUUUAUAUUUUAAGUACGUUUUUUUGGUUUUUCGUGUAAGGGAUGUUAACUGAAAUUUUGAUCUCGCUUCCGCAUUCGAUAUAUUUAAAUACUCAU